rfam:Ruminococcus torques L2-14 draft genome.
CAGCAAUACUCAGGAGAGUCUCUUUAAAAAGAGCGCCGAAGGUGUAAGCGGUCAUGGAUGCAGUUACAUGCCGCGAGUCUCUCAGGCAAAAGGAUGGAGGAAUAAAG